UAUUCGGAGGGUUUGAUCCUGGCUCAGGACUAACGCUGGCGGCGUGUCUUAGCCAUGCAAGUCGAACGGGAAUCUUUCUUGACGCAAGGAUGGAUUGAUUCUAGUGGCGAACGGGUGAGUAACACGUGAGCAAGCUACCCUUAGAUGGGGGAUAAUCCAGGGAAACCUGGCCUAAUACCCCAUAUUGACUUAAUCAGGCAUCUGAUUUUGUUGAAAGAUGGCCUCUACUUGUAAGCUAUCGUCAAAGGAAGCGCUCGCGGCCCAUUAGCUUGUUGGUGAGGUAACGGCUCACCAAGGCUAUGAUGGGUAGCCGGCCUGAGAGGGUGAACGGUCACACUGGCACUGAGACACGGGCCAGACUCCUACGGGAGGCAGCAGGCUAGAAAAUUGCGCAAUGGGCGAAAGCCUGACGCAGCGACGCCGCGUGAAGGAUGGAGGCUCUUACGAGUUGUAAACUUCUUUUAUAUAGGAUGAUGGUAGUCAAAGCUAAUAUCUUUGAUCAUUGACAGUACUAUAUGAAUAAGCUCCGGCUAAAUCCGUGCCAGCAGCCGCGGUAAUACGGAUGGAGCUAGCGUUGUCCGGAAUCACUGGGCGUAAAGGGGGUGUAGGCGGUAUUGUUAGUCAUAGGUGAAAAUUACAGGCUUAACUUGUAACCUGCCUGUGAUACUGCAGUACUAGAGGACGGGAGAGGAGAGCGGAACUACCGGUGUAGCGGUGGAAUGCACAGAUAUCGGUAGGAACACCAGAGGCGAAGGCGGCUCUCUAGAACGUUCCUGACGCUGAGGCCCGAAAGCUGGGGGAGCAAACAGGAUUAGAGACCCUGGUAGUCCCAGCCCUAAACGAUGAGCACUAGGCGUGGGAUCAUUUGGAUUCCGUGUCGAAGUUAACGCGUUAAGUGCUCCGCCUGGGGAGUACGCUCGCAAGGGUGAAACUCAAAGGAAUUGACGGGACCCCGCACAAGCGGUGGAGGAUGUGGCUUAAUUCGAUGCAACGCGAAGAACCUUACCU
rnacentral:ncRNA from 1 species